rnacentral:rRNA from 1 species
UACGUAGGGUGCGAGCGUUAAUCGGAAUUACUGGGCGUAAAGCGUGCGCAGGCGGUUCGUUAAGUCCGAUGUGAAAGCCCCGAGCUCAACUUGGGAAUGGCAUUGGAAACUGGCGGGCUGGAGUGUGGCAGAGGGGGGUGGAAUUCCACGUGUAGCAGUGAAAUGCGUAGAGAUGUGGAGGAACACCGAUGGCGAAGGCAGCCCCCUGGGCCAACACUGACGCUCAGGCACGAAAGCGUGGGGAUCAAACAGG